rnacentral:rRNA from 1 species
GACGGAGGAUGCAAGUGUUAUCCGGAAUCACUGGGCGUAAAGCGUCUGUAGGUGGUUUAAAAAGUCUACUGUUAAAAAUUGAAGCUUAACUUCAAAGAUGCCGUAGAAACUUUUAAACUUGAGGAUGGUAGGGGUAGAGGGAAUUUCCAGUGGAGCGGUGAAAUGCGUAGAUAUUGGAAAGACCACCGAUGGCGAAGGCACUCUACUGGGCCAUUACUGACACUGAGAGACGAAAGCUAGGGGAGCAAAUGGG